rnacentral:rRNA from 1 species
AUGGCGUCGAGGGGGUUCGGGUCCGGUGGUGGACGAGGCGGGCGAGGCGACGGCGCAGGGCGCCGCCCCGGUGGACGGGGAGACGGCCGAGGGCGCGGAUCCGGCGGCCGUGGCGAGGCUGGAGGAGGAGGUUACGGUCGCGGCCCUGGUGCUCCAACUCCAGCAGCGGGCGGGUACAAUCAGCAAGCGCCGCCCGCGCGCGUCGACGCUGGAGGCCGAGGUCCCGGCGUACCGGCUGGCUUCCGCCCCGCCGCGCCGCGUCCGGCCGCGCCUGCGGUUCCCGCGUCGGCCUCUACGAGUUCUUCGCGCGCCCCUCCGUCUUCGGCUACGACGGCGCCUGCUGAUGCUCUCGCGAGGGACGUGGGCAGGCUGACCGUGGAGGCGCCCCCGGCUCCCCGUUCCUCCGCACCCGCCGCGGCGGGAGCCCCGGCUCUUCGUCCCCCUGUUCUGCCCGCGGCCGCGGGCGGAUCUCAACCGGAAUCCCAGGCGCCUGCGCCUGCGCCACCGGCAGCCGCCCCGGUGUCGAGCAAGUCGGUGGCCCAACCGGGUCGUCCGGGUUUCGGUACGGCGGGGCGGAAGAUGAUCGUGCGAGCGAACCACUUCCUCGUCGGCUUCGCGGACAAGGACAUCUGCCACUACGAUGUUGCAAUUACUCCUGAGCCCAAAACAAGACGGAUCAACAGGAUUCUGAUGACGGAGCUGACAAGCAAGCACCGCGCGUCGUCUCUCGGUGGCCUACUGGCCGCAUACGAUGGCAGCAAGAGCCUGUACACUGCAGGCGAGCUGCCAUUCCAGGCGAUGGAUUUCUCCAUCAAGCUGGGGAAACCACCAAGAGAAACUGAGUACAAGGUCAAGGUUCAAUUCGCCGCGCGGGCAAACUUGUACCACCUGCAGCAGUUCCUCAGUGGGAGGCAACGUGAUUCUCCACAGGACACAAUACAAGCGCUCGACGUUGUGUUGAGAGAGUCACCUUCUCUGAACUAUGUCACCGUUUCUCGAUCCUUCUACUCCACAAUAUUUGGCCAACGUGACAUCGGUGAUGGGCUGGAGUGCUGGAGAGGAUAUUACCAAAGCUUGCGCCCCACUCAGAUGGGCCUCUCACUGAAUAUAGAUAUAUCAUCAAUGCCAUUUUACAAAUCUAUAUCGGUGAUACAAUUUGUUCAGGAGUGUCUGAAUAUGAGGAAUGCCGACCCCAAUCGCCCCCUUUCUGACAGGGACCGCCUGAAGCUUAAGAAAGCAUUGCGCGGGAUUCGUGUUGAAACCACUCAUCAAGAGGGCAAAAGGAGCGCCUACAAGAUAACUGGGAUUACUUCUGUUCCGCUGAUUCAGCUCAACUUUCCUCUGGAUGACGGCAACCAAAUGACUGUUGUGCAAUACUUUUGGGGCCGAUACAAGUAUAGAUUGAGGUUCACUUCUUGGCCUUGUCUGCAGUCUGGAAAUGAUUCUCGCCCUAUAUAUUUGCCAAUGGAGGUAUGCACAAUUAUUGAAGGGCAGAGGUUCACCAGGAAGCUUAACGAGAAACAAGUGACUGGCAUACUGAGAGCUACGUGCGAACGUCCCCAUGAUAGGGAGAAGAGCAUACUUAAGAUGGUGCAGCACAACAACUAUUCAGCUGAUAAGCUGGCACAGGAGUUUGGAAUCGAUGUUACGGAUAAAAUGGUCAAUGUGCAGGCUCGCGUGCUACCUCCCCCCAUGCUCAAAUAUCAUGAGUCUGGAAAGGACAAAGCUUGUGCACCAAGUGUUGGCCAGUGGAACAUGAUUGGCAAGAAAAUGAUAAAUGGAGGGAAUGUUCAGAGAUGGACUUGCUUGAACUUUUCACGUCUGCACAUUGAUGGAGUCGAAAGGUUUUGUGGCGACUUAGUCAAAAUGUGCAACGCCAUCGGCAUGGUUUUCAAUCCUAGCCCAGUGGUAGAAAUUCUCUCAGCGUCUGCCAAUAACAUAGAAGGUGCUUUGAAGCAUGCUCACCAGAGGGCCCCUGACCUCCAGUUGCUUAUCGUGAUUCUCCCGGAUGUUACUGGCCAUUACGGUAAAGUUAAGAAGGUGUGCGAGACUGACCUUGGUAUAGUUUCUCAAUGUCUCAAGCCAGACAAGGUCGAAAGAGCAAACAAGCAGUAUUUUGAAAAUGUUGCACUUAAAGUCAAUGUCAAGGUCGGAGGGAGAAAUACAGCUCUUCAGCAAGCUCUUAAACGUCAAAUACCGUUAGUCACCGACAAGCCGACGAUCUUUUUUGGUGCUGAUGUAACACAUCCGGCGGCUGGGGAUGAUUCUUCACCGUCAAUUGCAGCCGUGGUGGCCUCCAUGGACUGGCCUGAAAUCACAAAGUACAAAGCUGUGGUUUCUGCCCAACCGCCCAGGCAGGAGAUUAUUCAAGAUCUCUAUUGCAGAGGCACAGACCCUGAGAAGGGCACCCCUGUACACGGUGGAAUGAUGCGGGAGUUGCUAGUGUCAUUCUAUCAGAAGACCAAACAUAAACCCAGCAGGAUCAUAUUCUACAGGGACGGUGUGAGUGAAGGGCAAUUCGCCCAAGUUCUGAUGUAUGAAAUGGAUGCCAUCAGGAAGGCUUGUGCAUCUUUGCAGGACGAUUAUCAGCCCCCUGUGACAUUUGUGGUUGUCCAGAAAAGGCAUCACACAAGGCUCUUCCCUGAGGUGCAUGGAAAAGAGACCGACAAAAGUGGAAACAUCCUACCUGGAACCGUGGUCGACACCAACAUAUGCCAUCCCACCGAGUUUGAUUUCUACCUGUGUAGCCAUGCCGGGAUUCAGGGCACAAGCAGACCAACUCACUACCAUGUCCUCUUCGAUGAAAACUCUUUCACUGCCGAUGGGCUGCAGGUGCUCACCAACAACCUCUGCUACACAUACGCUCGAUGCACUCGCUCUGUCUCUGUUGUUCCUCCUGCCUACUACGCUCACCUGGCCGCGUUCCGCGCACGGUAUUACGAUGAGCCGUCGGAGGGCUCGGACAGCGCCUCGAUCGUCAGCGGUGGCACCCGGGAUUCAGCCGCCACCGGCGCAGGAGCUGCUUAA